CUUAAACAAUAAGCUUUAAUAAAGUAUUACUGGAGUGGUAUUAAAGUCUUAAAAGAAAACUUCAGUAGCUGUUGUUUAUGAUGUACAGUUUCAUUUGAUGGAGUAGUAGACUUGGCUCCUCCAAACGAUAAGAAUCCAAUAAACCUAAAAAUUUAAAACCUUUGUAAUCAAAUUUCCCAAAGCAAUCAUAUUACCUUCGACCAAUCACCAUUAGUUAUUUCUAUACAUACACACAUAAAAUACAGUAGAAGACAUAUAAUACACGUAUACACUACGAUAAAUUUGCAAUUUGCAGCGUCAAAUAGCAACUAGCUAGCAGCAAAUCAUGCCCUAAUGGCGUACUUUUGCUAAGACUAGUUGCCCCAUUCAACAUUCUUUUUCUUCCCAAGUGAUCUCUUCUCAUUAAGUUUCUCUGCCUGCCAAAAGCAGGAUUCUCAUGUCACUUUCCAACAAUUUAAGUUUCCAACCCUUGGCUUUCUUCACCACAAAGUUGCUCAAAUCGAGCAACUAUGUGCUUCCCAUAUGUGUAUUUCUUCAAAGCAUGAAGAUGAACUCUUACGCGGUUGAGCAAUAUUUCCCGCUGUUUAUCAUUACUAAUUUCAAGGAUCUUUUGGACCACAUAAUUUGCAAAUUGGUCCUUCAUCAUUAUCAACAAGUGGUCAUUUUCCUCAGAUUGCCCAAUGAUCUCCUCAAUCAAGAGCUCCCGCUCAGCUGAAUUGCCAUGCUCUAAACACUUUUCAAUGACAUUUGACGCAUACUUAUGCUGACUCAUUUGCAAAAUUUUCCCUGUCACCUUGCUGAUAAUCUGGCUCCUUUCACAGGGCUUUCCCCUCUCCAAAACAUGCUGGGUGACAUAGUUGCCAUAUUGGUCUUGAGCAAGAAGGUAAGCAGAAUCUAAGAUUUCAUCCACUAUGCAUUGACUUUGCAGGUCAUCUGAGCAAUGCUCCAAAACUCUCUGAAUGACACGACAACCAUAGGGAUGAGUAGCAAGUGCAGCAACUUGGCCUCGAAAAGCAGAGAUAAUAAAUUCAAUGUUCUUUGCAGGCACACAUUCUAUGCACUUCUGUAUUACAUGAUUUCCAUUUUGAUCAUGUACGCAUCUCAUAACAUGCCCAUCAAGCUCUUGAACAAGCUGUGUUUUCUGAUCAAGCUCAAUCACUUCGAGGGCUUUCUGUAUCACACGGCAACCAUACAUCUGCAAACUCAACUGCAGCAUCUGUCCAGAGAGUUUAUCUGCAAGCUCCUUUCGCUGUUCAGGACUUCCAUGCUCAAAAAACUUCUGAAUAACAUAAUUUCCAAAAACAUCUGUCAUUAACUUUGAAGCAUGAGGAAGUACUUCUUUAAAUACUGACACCUUUUCCUCAAAACUACAAUGUUCCAGUUUCUGCUGAAUAAAUCGACUGCCGUGUUGAUCAACACUGAAGUUAAACAAGAAAUAAAAUUACUUUUUAUGUGGGAAGUGAUAAGGCAAUCACAUUAGAGAUGCAAGCAAAACAAGCUAAAUAUAGAACACUGCCUGAAUUCAACUAUAUGUCCCCCUAUCUCAGAGAGUUCAAAUUUUCGGGCACUGCUUGAUUUCAGUUCUUCAAGAAAAUAAUGCCUUUUGGGCUCAUCAAAGCUGUUGACUCCUCUCUGACCGUGACCUCCAGAAUAUGGUCCUACAUUUCUACUUGAACCUUGGGGAAACCUCAUGUCAUUCUGCUGACCAAUAUGAUUUAUUCCACCUACAGGAGAUGAUGGUAGUACUGGACUGGCAAGUGGUGCACCUGGGAAUUGGGUCAUGACACCCACAUCUGGAGGACCUCCAUAAUAACUAUUACCAGUAAUUCCCACUUUUCCGGGACUUAGCAUGCUUAGACUGCCAUUUGUUGGAGGCUGAAGUUUAUGAUCACCCCUAUAAGUGGAAAAAAAUGACUCCUUCUGAGGAAGAAAAGAAUCAGCCUGUCCCCCAGUGGGACCACCUGAUGCCAAACGAUUCUGCUGAAAUGAAGCACCAUACGCAUCUCCAAAAGGAUUCUGAAAGUAUUGCAUAUAAAGUGGAUCAACAUAGGAAGGUUGAAGCAUUAAUCCCUGUUGUCCAUAAAACUUGCCCAGGUGUUGCAGACCUCCUACUUGUGGAAUGUUUUCCCCAGCUGAAGAAGCAGCAGUUCGGCCACCAUAGCCUGGACUAGAAGCACCAAAUGGCACAGGAAUGGCACCAUGAGAAGGAUAGCCAGUCAUAAAAGGGGGAAGGAAUGCAGAACCUAAAGCAUAUCCGCCCAUGCCGUAUUGUGGAGAAUAUAAACCAGAUGGCUGAAAGUUAGGGUAAAAUGGAGUCCCUCCCGUCAUAUAGGCUGCUACUGAUGCAUACGAAGGAGAGUUGAGUACAGGAGAAUGCAAUGAUGGCUGUACCUCAAUAGUGGAGAUCCUAGGAUGCUCAUGGGAAAAUUUUACCAUGCUAUUGUGAGAUUGAUUCAUUGGCUGAGUAAUUAUUUGAGGCUGGACUCGUUGAGCCUGAUGAGGAUUGCCUUGUUGCAUAGAUGGAUGAUUUUGAGGCAUAUUCCUCCCAUAAGAUCGUUGCUCUUCUUUGUUGUUUCUAAUUUUAGGCUCCUUUCUUGUAAUACCUGACUGAAAGGUACUGGUAACUGACGCAUGGCCCUCCAAACCAGUGUCUUUUGGUUUCUCAUGAAGACAUGAUGUACCAGGAUAAGAGGCAACUGUAGGAUUACUAUCAGCUAUUAGCCUGAUAGCAUCUACCUCCAAAGCAUAACUGUUGACGCAGACAUCAUCAGAACCUGAAUUUGAUUCUGAUGCUUUUGAAAUGUUCACAGAGGAAACAUUUGGUGAAAUUACAUGAGUAUCCAGAUCAACUACUUCCUCUGCUGCAUGGCUUGAAGAACGAGACUGACUAUAAACAGGAGAUGGGGUGCGAGGAAAGUCUUCCUGUAUCAGGUCAACCAAACUUUUAUGACGACCUGCCAAAGAAGUUGUGUUCGGUCCAGAGAUAGGUGCACUGCUAUUUUCUGAUGCUCCUCUGGGUGACUUAUCAUCCUCUGGCUCUUCCUUAUGGGUUGAAAGCAUAGAAAGUUGCAAGGAUUUAGUGCCACUGUCGUCUAUAGAAGCAGACCUCCAAUUGCCUAAACCACCAAAACGACAUACAAGUUGUCUAUUUUCUCGCGACAUUAGAGGUGGGGGAAGCCUUGGAUUCAAGUUGAUAUUCGUGCAAUAGUAUGCAAAAUAAGCUGGAUCAGAACGCAGUUGCUCCUCAGACUCACAAUUCUCAAUAGCACUGCUUAAACUUUCCAAGCUAGAACUCAUGAUUAAGUUUUGCUGAGCUAAAAGGUUUCCAAUAGCAGCAAAUGAACCCUCCAUACUUGGUGGUGCACUGCCACUUCGACUGGGAAUCAUAUCUGUUUGACCUCCAUGGAAUCUAUGCCCCUUCACAAGCAAUCCCAAGUUCUCUGCAGCCAUAUUACUUAAGGGUGACCCAAAUAUAGCUGCAUCCUUAGAAGAGGGACACUUUGUAGCUCUGCCACUCUCCACCAUUCUCAUAGGGCUCUCAGUUGCCAUCCACUUAGGGCUACACAG
rnacentral:misc_RNA from 1 species